UGAAGCGGCAACAGCUCAAAUUUGAAAUCUGGUCCCCAGGGCCCGAGUUGUAAUUUGUAGAGGAUGCUUUUGGCGCGGCGCCUUCCGAGUUCCCUGGAACGGGACGCCAUAGAGGGUGAGAGCCCCGUCUGGUCGGACGCCUAGCCUCUGUAAAGCUCCUUCGACGAGUCGAGUAGUUUGGGAAUGCUGCUCAAAAUGGGAGGUAUAUGUCUUCUAAAGCUAAAUAUUGGCCAGAGACCGAUAGCGCACAAGUAGAGUGAUCGAAAGAUGAAAAGCACUUUGAAAAGAGGGUUAAACAGUACGUGAAAUUGUUGAAAGGGAAGCGCCUAUGACCAGACUUGGGCCCGGUGAAUCACCCAGCGUUCUCGCUGGUGCACUUUGCCGGGCACAGGCCAGCAUCAGUUUGGCGCGGGGGAUAAAGGCUCUGGGAAUGUGGCUCCCUCGGGAGUGUUAUAGCCCUCUGCGUAAUACCCUGCGCCGGACUGAGGUACGCGCUCCGCAAGGAUGCUGGCGUAAUGGUCAUCAGCGACCCGUCUUGAAACACGGACCAAGGAGUCGUCUUCGUAUGCGAGUGUUCGGGUGUCAAACCCCUACGCGUAAUGAAAGUGAACGCAGGUGAGAGCUUCGGCGCAUCAUCGACCGAUCCUGAUGUUCUCGGAUGGAUUUGAGUAAGAGCAUACGGGGCCGGACCCGAAAGAAGGUGAACUAUGCCUGUAUAGGGUGAAGCCAGAGGAAACUCUGGUGGAGGCUCGCAGCGGUUCUGACGUGCGAAUCGAUCGUCAAAUAUGGGCAUGGGGGCGAAAGACUAAUCGAACCUUCUAGUAGCUGGUUUCCGCCGAAGUUUCCCUCAGGAUAGCAGUGUUGAACUCAGUUUUAUGAGGUAAAGCGAAUGAUUAGGGACUCGGGGGCGCUAUAUUGCCUUCAUCCAUUCUCAAACUUUAAAUAUGUAAGAAGCCCUUGUUACUUAAUUGAACGUGGGCAUUCGAAUGUAUCAACACUAGUGGGCCAUUUUUGGUAAGCAGAACUGGCGAUGCGGGAUGAACCGAACGCGAGGUUAAGGUGCCGGAGUGGACGCUCAUCAGACACCACAAAAGGUGUUAGUACAUCUUGACAGCAGGACGGUGGCCAUGGAAGUCGGAAUCCGCUAAGGACUGUGUAACAACUCACCUGCCGAAUGUACUAGCCCUGAAAAUGGAUGGCGCUCAAGCGUCCCACCCAUACCUCGCCCUCAGGGUAGAAACGAAGCCCUGAGGAGUAGGCGGACGUGGAGGUCAGUGACGAAGCC
rnacentral:rRNA from 1 species